UAAUUGAAGAGUUUGAUCAUGGCUCAGAUUGAACGCUGGCGGCAGGCUUAACACAUGCAAGUCGAGCGGUAGCACAGGGGAGCUUGCUCCCUGGGUGACGAGCGGCGGACGGGUGAG
rnacentral:rRNA from 2 species